GGAGACUCAAAGAGCUUGGCUUGUUUAGCCUAACCAAAAGAAGGCUGAGGGGAGAUAUGACUGCUCUUUAUAAAUAUAUCAGAGGGAUAAAUAUCAGGGAGGGAGAGGAAUUAUUUAAGCUUAGUACCAAUGUGGACACAAGAACAAAUGGAUAUAAACUGGCUAUCAGGAAGUUUAGACUUGAAAUUAGAGGAAGGUUUCUAACCAUUAGAGGAGUGAAGUUCUGGAACAGCCUUCCAAGGGGAGUAGUGGGGGCAAAAGACAUAUCUGGCUUCAAGACUAAGCUUGAUAAGUUUAUGGAGGGGAUGGUAUGAUGGGAUAGCCUAAUUUUGGCAAUUAAUUUGGCAAUUGAUCUUUGAUUAUCAGCAGGUAAGUAUGCCCAGUGAUCUGUGAUGGGAUG